GACGAACGCUGGCGGCGUGCCUAAUACAUGCAAGUAGAACGCUGAAGGAGGAGCUUGCUUCUCCGGAUGAGUUGCGAACGGGUGAGUAACGCGUAGGUAACCUGCCUGGUAGCGGGGGAUAACUAUUGGAAACGAUAGCUAAUACCGCAUAACAGUAGAUGUUGCAUGACAUUUGCUUAAAAGGUGCAAUUGCAUCACUACCAGAUGGACCUGCGUUGUAUUAGCUAGUUGGUGAGGUAACGGCUCACCAAGGCGACGAUACAUAGCCGACCUGAGAGGGUGAUCGGCCACACUGGGACUGAGACACGGCCCAGACUCCUACGGGAGGCAGCAGUAGGGAAUCUUCGGCAAUGGACGGAAGUCUGACCGAGCAACGCCGCGUGAGUGAAGAAGGUUUUCGGAUCGUAAAGCUCUGUUGUAAGAGAAGAGCGAGUGUGAGAGUGGAAAGUUCACACUGUGACGGUAUCUUACCAGAAAGGGACGGCUAACUACGUG
rnacentral:rRNA from 1 species